rnacentral:lncRNA from 1 species
ACAACAGUGACAUACUAUACUGUUUUAGACCCCAGGACAGGCUGAGCUGGAGAGAACCUGAUUACGGCAUGACAGAACAUUUGUCCUGACCUAUUAUACUUCUUCCUGAAAGCAGUUAUCAUCAAGCUAUUGAGGCUGUGUUUCCCUACUGCUUUGCCUGGCUGAAAGAGGAAGAAUCCAACAAAGACUUUGACAGCUGGUAUGAAACAUCUGGCAGAUUUCCAGAAAUUUUUCUGCACUCCACCGGGACAUCCAUGAUGACACAUUUUUCUGUGGAAGUUUUAUAAAACAUAGAUGAAAGCCCAAUCUCACAGAAUCAUAGAAUGCCAAAUCCUGCUGAUGUCAUUUCCAAAAUAUCUUCUAAAUCAGUCACCUCCUUUUUAGUUUCACUGAUACCUCCUUAGUGCAAGGCCAUCAUCACCUCUCCCCUACUAUUACAAUAGCCUUCCUAUUAAUCUCAGCGUUUCGAAUCUCUUUUGUCUCCCAGCCAUGCUUCAGACUUCUGCCCAAGUAAUCUUUCUAAUGAUAGACCUGACCCUGAUACACCUCUCUCAAAAAUUUUCAGGUUUCUGAGUUUGCUCUAAGAUCAAAUACAGACUCCCAAUCCUGCCAUUCAAGAGUCUCUACAAUUUGUCUCCAGCC